rnacentral:rRNA from 1 species
AUUGAACGCUGGCGGCAGGCCUAACACAUGCAAGUCGAGCGGAUGAAGCGAGCUUGCUCCUGGAUUCAGCGGCGGACGGGUGAGUAAUGCCUAUGAAUCUGCCUGGUAGUGGGGGAUAACGUCCUGAAACGGGCGCUAAUACCGCAUACGUCCUGAGGGAGAAAGUGGGGGAUCUUCGGACCUCACGCUAUCAGAUGAGCCUAGGUCGGAUUAGCUAGUUGGUGGGGUAACGGCCUACCAAGGCGACGAUCCGUAACUGGUCUGAGAGGAUGAUCAGUCACACUGGAACUGAGACACGGUCCAGACUCCUACGGGAGGCAGCAGUGGGGAAUAUUGGACAAUGGGCGAAAGCCUGAUCCAGCCAUGCCGCGUGUGUGAAGAAGGUCUUCGGAUUGUAAAGCACUUUAAGUUGGGAGGAAGGGCAGUAAGUUAAUACCUUGCUGUUUUGACGUUACCAACAGAAUAAGCACCGGCUAACUUCGUG